rnacentral:rRNA from 1 species
GACGAACGCUGGCGGCGUGCUUAACACAUGCAAGUCGAACGGAAAGGCCCUGCUUUUGUGGGGUGCUCGAGUGGCGAACGGGUGAGUAACACGUGAGUAACCUGCCCUUGACUUUGGGAUAACUUCAGGAAACUGGGGCUAAUACCGGAUAGGAGCUCCUGCUGCAUGGUGGGGGUUGGAAAGUUUCGGCGGUUGGGGAUGGACUCGCGGCUUAUCAGCUUGUUGGUGGGGUAGUGGCUUACCAAGGCUUUGACGGGUAGCCGGCCUGAGAGGGUGACCGGCCACGUUGGGCCUGAGAUACGGCCCAGACUCGAACGGUAGGCAACAGUGGAGAAUAUUACACAGUGGGCGGAAGCCUGAUGCAGCAACGCAGCGUGCGGGAUGACGGCCAUCGGGUUGGAAACCGCUUUCGCCUGUGACGAAGCGUGAGUGACGGUAAUGGGUAAAGAAGCACCGGCUAACUACGUG